AAUCCUGGGCCGGCCCCUCAGUACCCUUCUGGGCUCCAAGGGUCCACCCGCCCCCUUCGCCAGUCUUCUGGUUUCCACUUCAAAGUGCCGAGUGGGAAUGCGCAUUUUAAGAGAGAAAUCUGCAGCGAGCACCGCUUACUCCCCAGGAAAGUUUAGCUAAUGGUGGAAAGAUGGGCGCUGUGCCGGCCGGCACAGGGCGAUUUUUCUAGGGCCUCUGCAAAGUGAGAAAACUCUGAUACCAACCACCCUAUCCCACUGUUGGUAGCACAACUGUGUGCUGGUGCCUGGCAGACAACACGGCUCUACAGGCUCAUCAUUCUUCAUGGUUCUGUUUUAGGAGGCUUGUGGAAGCCAGCUGCCAUGUCGUAAGCACACUCAAGCAACCCCAUGGAGGAUUACAGGCGGUAAGGAACUGAGGCAUUUUGCCAACAGCCAGAACCAAUUGGCCAGCAAUGCUGCAGUGCCUUCGAGCCUUUGUGUGAUCAUAAUUCCAUCGGACAUCCUGACUGCAACCUGAUGAGAGAACUUAAGCCAGAACUACCCGGCAAAGUCACUUGUGGAUUCCCGAUACACAGAAAGUCUGAGAUAGAUCAUUCAGGGACCGGGAUCCUUCCCCCUUGUGGCUCUGCCGACUCCAACAGGCGGUUUCGAAGGAGGCCUCAAACGAGAAAGAGAAAGGAAGGAUGAGGCCACACCCGUGUAAAUCUGCCCAAGCCCGCAUUCUCUCCAGCUUCGCAUCCUGAACUGCCCCCAGGAUUUCAGACCUGUGUAUCCACCUGCGCCUGGAUGCUUCCGCCUGCGUGUGCACAGGCCCUUCACACUCAGCACGCCUCAAACUGAACUUGCCUUCAUCCGCCCACCCCCCCAAAUUGGCUUCUCCCGUGGCGACAACCUAACCCCAAGCUUGUCCCUGCUGAAAACCUGAGGGUCAUCACGGUCUCAUUUCUCAGUUUAAAUACUGGCCAAGCCGUGUCUCGAAUCAGUUCCCGCCACGCCCAUCCUCAGUUCAGGCCAUCACGUCCUGCUCAGACGCCCAUGGCUUCCUCCUAACAGGUCUUUGUGCCUCUAGUCUGUUCCCUCCAACCUGUCUCCACAGGCAGCCAGCGCACCUGGCCUGCAGUCCCAGUGGGACCACGGCGCUCACUUUCUGAAGCGAGUAUGGGCUUCCCUCUGGGGCCCCCAAGUCCGCUCAUGACUGGCCCCACUACAGCAAGCCCCAGCUUCCCCUGACAUCCCAGCAACGCGAGGCUGUCCCGUGCACAUACUCCGAGGAUCCCUGCUGCCACCCUAGGGUCUGGGUGGGUGCCCCUCAUGCCACUAAAGAGGCCUUUAUUUUC